rnacentral:rRNA from 1 species
CGGGUGAGUAACACGUGGGCAAUCUGCCCUUCACUCUGGGACAAGCCCUGGAAACGGGGUCUAAUACCGGAUAACACUCCCUCUCUCAUGGGUGGGGGUUAAAAGCUCCGGCGGUGAAGGAUGAGCCCGCGGCCUAUCAGCUUGUUGGUGAGGUAAUGGCUCACCAAGGCGACGACGGGUAGCCGGCCUGAGAGGGCGACCGGCCACACUGGGACUGAGACACGGCCCAGACUCCUACGGGAGGCAGCAGUGGGGAAUAUUGCACAAUGGGCGAAAGCCUGAUGCAGCGACGCCGCGUGAGGGAUGACGGCCUUCGGGUUGUAAACCUCUUUCAGCAGGGAAGAAGCGAAAGUGACGGUACCUGCAGAAGAAGCGCCGGCUAACUACGUGCCAGCAGCCGCGGUAAUACGUAGGGCGCAAGCGUUGUCCGGAAUUAUUGGGCGUAAAGAGCUCGUAGGCGGCUUGUCACGUCGGGUGUGAAAGCCCGGGGCUUAACCCCGGGUCUGCAUUCGAUACGGGCUAGCUAGAGUGUGGUAGGGGAGAUCGGAAUUCCUGGUGUAGCGGUGAAAUGCGCAGAUAUCAGGAGGAACACCGGUGGCG